rnacentral:rRNA from 1 species
GCAAUGCCGCGUGAGUGAAGAAGGCCUUCGGGUUGUAAAGCUCUUUUGUCAGGGAAGAAACGGUGAGCUCUAAUACAGUUUGCUAAUGACGGUACCUGAAGAAUAAGCACCGGCUAACUACGUGCCAGCAGCCGCGGUAAUACGUAGGGUGCAAGCGUUAAUCGGAAUUACUGGGCGUAAAGCGUGCGCAGGCGGUUUUGUAAGUCUGUCGUGAAAUCCCCGGGCUCAACCUGGGAAUGGCGAUGGAGACUGCAAGGCUAGAGUUUGGCAGAGGGGGGUAGAAUUCCACGUGUAGCAGUGAAAUGCGUAGAUAUGUGGAGGAACACCGAUGGCGAAGGCAGCCCCCUGGGUCAAAACUGACGCUCAUGCACGAAAGCGUGGGGAGCAAACAGGAUUAGAUACCCUGGUAGUCCACGCCCUAAACGAUGUCUACUAGUUGUCGGGUCUUAAUUGACUUGGUAACGCAGCU